UGGCAUUUCGGUGCACAAAACAUCCCUAAUUCUACAAGCAUUAUAUCAGUGGCUCAUGUCUUCAUCGCUCGAAUCCAAUUAUUUAUAAAUCACACGAAGAUAAUUUUAUCGUUACUCUGGACCCUCCCCUUCAGCUAACCAAGUGAAAAAGAAAUUAAAAUGAUUUUAAAAAAAAAAAAAAAAACUAAUUAGUAAGUACUACCAAAAACAUCUCAAAAAAUGGAUGAGAAAACGAAACAAGUAGUUUCCAUUAUGGACCAAGUCAUUACGAACCAACCGGUCCAAAUUGAGGUUACGAGGAAGGCGAUCGCUGUAGUACAACAAUGUUGUCAAUGUGGAAACUGGUUGGACGAUAAAUGCCCUCGUCGUUCGUGCUACUGACCCAAACAUCAUUGCCGCAACACGCUGCAAUAGACAACAUAAAAAUUCUAGUUAAGACCAAAAGCAUACAUAUAAUAAAAACAUAAUACAUACACUUCUUUUAACUUAACCUCAGUUCACAUUUAUGAUCUUCAAUUUUGAAUAUGCACAAAUAGACAUGAACUGGUCACGUAGGAUGUCACAUAAGACACCAGAGACGGAGCUACACUUGGGAUAGGGGAUUCAUCCAAACGCCCUUCAACGGAAAAUCAUACUAUAUAUACAUGGUUAAAAUUAUUUUUUAUGUAUAUAUAGUAGAUGUCGAACCCCCUUCGGUUAGUUCGUAUGUUUCCCUUGGUGAAAAUUCUGGCUCCGCCAGUGUAGGACACAUAUGUCUAUAUGUUCAACUUUAUGCAAGUUUAAGUGUCUAUUUGUGCACACCCAUAGUUGAAGGACAUAAAUGAAAGUUGAAGCUAAGUUAACGGACACAUUUAUAUAUUAUGCUUAUAAUAAUAAAUAUAUUAAAGUGGUUAAUCCCGUACUCUACACAGUAGCUGCUUCAACGCGUUAUAAUGUACAGUAGUGAAAACAAUUUUAACUUAAAAACUUUUAAUUUACCCUUUAUAACAGAGGAUUUCAUAGGUACACAAAUACUAUGUUUAGACGUGUUUAAAAACACUAAGUUUCCAAAGCUUUAUUGUCAUACAUAUGUAACGACAUAUCAAACAUAAAUAUUUCAAAAGCUUCCCCCUUUUUCUUUUCUUGAACUCUAUGAUCAUUCAAUCUAAGCCAUAUAAAUUAAAAUCAAAGGUAAGGGCGCGCGGAGCUAAAGGGGAAGGGGUCAUCUAAAUACCCUUCGCUGAAAAUUAUAGUACCAUAGCAUAUAUACGGUAAAAACUAAAUGUUGGAUUCCCGAAUAACUUUUCCAUGUAUGUACUAGUUUUUUAUACUAUUAUCGUUUGAACAUUCUUAAUGAAAAUUUAGACUCCGUUAAAUGGUGGAGUAUGCAAAUUUUCUUACACUUCCGAACGAUAUAUAAUUUAAUUUUAUUCAAAACUAAAACCAAAACAGACAGAAGGCUAAUCAACAAGAAGAAUAAUAAAGAGAAGGAAGAAUGACAUACCAUUGUUCUCAAUAAUAAAAAAGUCAUGCAGCUAGCUUCUUCUCUCAGAGAAAGAAAGGUGGAGUUGUUAUGAAGGUAAAUAAAUGUCACUUUAAUUUGAAGCAGAGAUUUUGAUUGGGUUUAUACUACAAAAAAAAAUACACAUGCAACAAGCUAAGUCUUGGUAAAAGUGUAAUUGAAUUUAUGUGAAAAUUGGUGAAUAUCUGCCAAAAAGUUAUACAGCUGAUGAUAUCGAGAAAAACAAAAAAGUUAGCGAGCAGAGUGGUUUUUCUUGUCUAGGAUGAAAAACAUAGGGCGUUCACUUUGAAGAUAUCGACAUAUUAGAUCCUUAAAAAAAAAAAAAAAAAAAAAGAGGGUUUAAUUGCAAUAUAUAGCUAUAUAUAAGCAAUAAGAUGUGAGCGACUGCAAAAAUCUUAGUAGGGAGCGCUUUCUUCAAAUGGGUCCUACGCAACGCAAAUACGAAUUAGUCGGACUCCAAUGCGAAUACCAAAACACCAGAUGAAAAACCAAAAAAAAAAAAGAUAUGAACCACAGGCAUGUUUUCUUGCAAUUAAAUUAAAGCCAAAUAAAUAUGCAGAAAUUUGUAACGUAGGUCGAGCUAUAAGUAUUAUUCUUUUUUGGCAAGAAUAUUUGACAAGAAAGUCAUGAGACCACAUUCCUGCCUUUGCCUUGUUGCUCAAGCUUAUAUGUAUUGUGAGCACAUGAAACUAUACUAAAAUAAAAUUUACUUCUUCAAGAGACACUUUUACUUACCACCUUAAAAGCAUGAACUUCCUAACUUUUAAAGUGAAAUUACUAAAAUGCCCUUCUUCUAUUAGUUUUUUUAAAAAAAAUAAAAAACCCAACAAAUACACCUAAGCCGCCUGUUUGAAUAGACCCUUCCCUUAACUUCCCGCGCUAAAGUCUAUAGUCGCUUCUUAUAGAAGAUUGCCUUCCAUAUAUUCAUCUUCAAUGAAAUCAAGCAUUGGUUCAAGAUGUACAACGACAUUUGUCCGGCCAGCCAAUCUCCUCAGAAAAUCAUAAGGCUAAUGCUUGUGAUGCCUGUGCACGUCAACAAAUGCUUCAUAGUGACAAGGACUUGGAGGGUGCACCAGUAACUGGUACCUUCUUUAUGAAUAAUCUGGAUCCCCACACCAUUUACAGAAGCAAUGUGUAUUGAAACGGGAUGAAAGGUGAGAAUUUGUGUAUUCCAUAUUCACUAAAAGUUCUGGUUUAAUUUGUUUUGCUAUCUCAACCACUUAAUGUUGAUUUAGUUGCAUUUGAUAGAGUCAACAGAGUUGGAAUAUACCUGAUGAAAAAUAUCUUAUCAUGGAGUUUUAUGGAACUGCAUGAAUAAAACAGGAAGUUCAAAAAACCACAAUUUGACUAAUCUUGAAACGGUUUGCAUAUUCAAUUCACAGCAAAAGGUUUGCUUAGGAAAUAAGAAAGAACGAAGUAGAAAUAUCUACCAGAGAGACGAUUUUGGUGGUGAAAGUGUGGUGGCCCUGGAAUGAUGUCAGAUAUAGAGGGAAAUGAUAUAAGACAAAUACGAGAGUAGCAAGCAUCUUGAAAAUCCACGUCAUAUUGUUAAAGUUAAAUUGGCUGCUAACUAUGUGAUAUGCAUCCUUUGUAGAUGGUCCUUAUUGAAUGUUUAUCUAAGGUUUGUUUUCUCUAACAAUAUGUUGUUGGAAUAUUAACUUUUAGUCUACGAAUUUUGAUAUCUAGCUUAUUGCAAAAUAAUGUUUUUGAUAGCCGUUUUCCCCCUUAAACUAGGAGUUCCCACCCUUUUUGCUCCCUUCGUGACUUGUUCUCACAACCUCGGGUUGGAAGUGAAGGGUGCUUACCAUCCGAGCAACUCCCUCUUUCCAUUUUUGAUAACGUUGCAUUAUGAGAUACUCGAUUCUAAUCACUCCACCUGUUUUAAUGCGUUUAUCUUAUUUUGACUUGACUCAUAGUUUAUGAAAGUUAAAAAUAAUUUUGAAUCUCUUUUUUCCUUCAACUAUCCUUCUCAAAGAGCUGGACCUGUAUUAUAACCCCAAACACUAUACAAAACAGAGGAGAAAACUCCCAUGACCUACUGAGAAUGGAACAUACCCCAUACAUCUUAGAUUGUAGAUAUCCAAAUUUGGUCACAAACAAUAGGAUUAACAUAUUCCUUGCCUAUUCUUAUAAAUCAUACAUUCUUUUACAUGUUCCUGUCAAAAGAGAAUGAUCCUUUGCGACUAUUUAUCCUAAACAAGGAAAGUUGUAACCUUUCCAUGUUUAUGUAUCCUCUAAUGUCUUUAGGAAGACAGAGAUCUGGAAUAUUGAAUUAUACCAUUGCCUUGAAGUCCCCAGUUAGCAAGUUUGUCUGUAACACCAUUACUUUCUCUGAAACAAUGUUUAAUUCUCCAAAAUCUCUUUCUUUUUGAGAUUGUCAUAAAUGUUGUCUAUGAUGUUCCAACAGGUUCAAGGUGGGUUAGCUUUAUUCUAGAUCCAGUCCACCACUAAUUUGGAGUCAUAUUCAAUUUCAAUUUUCUUGAUCCCUGCUGCACCAUUCAAUCCCAAUGCUAAGAGCCACCGUUUCAGCCAUGUUAUAAGUUUUAUACCCGGUCUCUACAUUGUAUUACACAUUGACUAAGUGUCGUUUAUCAUCCCCGAUGAUCCCUCUGCCACCACAAGGGCCUGUAUUAUCUUUGGAACAUCCAUCACAAUUAAGCUUCACCUAACCAGGCCUCGGAUAGUUCCAUUUAACUACAGUAGAAACUGACUGAUAUUUAGCAUGACCCAUCAAUUUUCUAAAACAUUCCCAGCUCAAGAGAGGGGAGAUAAUAGGGAACUUCUUGUUAGGAAUCAAAAUAAGUUAUUGAUGAGUUAGCUGAAUGAUUCUGUUGGGAUACAUGACAAUCUUUUCACAUCUACUCUUGCACCUGGCCUUCCAUAUUUUCCAAAUAAUGAGCUAAUGUAUGAAAAUAUCAUUUAAUCUUGUGGUUUUAAGAAUGUCAUGUGUAUGUUUAGAUUUAAAGAGUUGCCAAAAAGGAUAAAGAAAAUAUUCAUUUUUUAAUCAAUUUCGAAAGAAAAGACAAACAAACUGAAACAAAGGGAUAUUAAUUUGUGCAUAUUGCUUCUUUUAAGAGAUGAUGAUAUAUUAUUAAUGUCGAAAGGAAACUUAAGGUAAAACUUAAUUCUGGCAUGUGUAUCAUUGUAAAAGGUGACUGUGAGACCAUUCUAUGUAAUUGAUGCAUUCGUAUUUGGAUAACUUAAUAGCGCUAUGUGUUUUUAUGUAGUAAGUUAUUAUUGUGAUUCGUUUUGUUUUAAUGUAGUAAAUCACUGUGAGUAGAUUACAUGAAAAGCUAGCUUCACAACAGUUAUAACAAUUUCUUCUUUCUUGGCCAUCAUAAUUGGAGAAAAAUUUCAAGAGAAAUAACUUUUUUCACUGUAAUGGAUACAUUAAACAACAACUACAUGUGUUUAUAAGAGAAACAACUUCCUUGAUCAGCGAUUUUGAUGCUCUUGUCUAUUUGGCAAGACUGACUUCAUUUUUCAAACUUACCUACCAAUAAAACCAAACACCCUAGCUCAAUAAAACAGUAUAGACCAAUAUCCUGUUGUACUACCAUAUACAAGAUCAUAUCCAAAAUGCUCACCACAAGGCUUCAACCUCUCAUGGAUCAUCUUGUAGACAUUAGUCAAGCUGCUUUUUCCCUGGUAGGGUUCUAAAUGAUAAUAUUUUACUUGGUCAUGAACUAGUUAAAGGAUAUGGGAGAAAGGGUAUCUCGCCUAGGUGUAUGAUUAAAAUUGACAUGCAAAAAACACAUGACUCAAUUGAAUGGCCCUUCCUUGAGGAGGUUUUACUGGGUAUGAAUUUAUGAAUUUCCCUGGGCAAUUUGUACAGUGGAUAAUGAGUUGUGUUAUAACAGUGUCCUACUUUAUAAAUAUAAAUGGUGUUCCUAGCACACCUUUUGCUGCAAAGAAAGGGGUAAGACAAGGUGACCCCCUGUCACCUUACCUGUUUGUCUUGAGUAUGGAGUAGUACCUAACCAGACUGUUGAAAAGAUUAGGACAAAAUCUAGACUUCAACUUCCACCCACGAUGCCAAAAAUUGAAUAUUAUUCAACUCAGUUUUGCAGAUGAUUUACUACUGUUUUGCAGAGGUGAUAUAGUUUCUGCUACCUUGCUUAACAAUUGUUUUCAAGAAUUCUCUGCAGCUUCAAGCCUUAUAGCCAACCAAUCAAAGAGUAGCAUAUAUUUUGGGGGUGUAAAUGAGAGUACACAGCAGUUCAUAUUACAACAACUGGGGUUUACUACUGGACAACUCCCCUUCAGAUACCUAGGAGUGCCUUUGAGCACCAAAAAGUUAUCAGUGGCCCAAUGCCAGCCUCUAAUUGAUAAGAUGGUUGGAAGAAUUACAAACUGGACAACUAAAUUUCUCUCAUAUGCUAGUAGAUUACAACUAAUUCACAGUGUGCUUGUUGGUAUACAAGACUUCUGGUCUCAAGUUUUUCCAAUACCAAAAACAAUUCUAAAAAAGGUAGAAACUAUGUGCAAAAGAUUCUUGUGGAAUGGACAUAUCCAACAUCGAGGCAAGGCACUAAUAGCAUGGGACAAGAUGUACUUCCCAAAUCAGCUGGAGGGCUUAAUAUUAUUGACAUGUAUAUAUGGAAUAGAGCUGCUAUCCUCAAACAUUUAUGGAACUUGAAUCAGAAAAAGGAUAAAUUAUGGAUCCUGUGGGUACAUGCAUAUUAUUUGAAGGGAAGGAAGCCUUGGAGCACAUGGACCAAACAAGCGUCAUGGAUUAUUCAGAAAAUCUUACAAGUUGGUAAAUGAAUUGAUGCAGCUGGUUUAAGUAUAGAAGAAGUUAUGGCGCAGAACUCAUUCUCCAUCAAGAAAAUAUACCAACAGCUUAGAGGCCAAUUCUCUAAAGUGGACCGGAGGAAACUAUACUGUAACAAUCAAGGGCACCCAAAAUGGAGGUUUAUCAUGUUUAUAGCACUUAAUCAAAGAUUAUAUACUAAAGAUCAACUAGAUAAAUGGAGCAUCCACACCAGUCUAACAUGUGCAUUAUGUGACGAGGAAAUGGAAGACCACCAGCACCUGUUCUUUAAAUGCUUAACUUCAGGGGAUAUAUGGCAAAGAAUACUCAACUGGCAAGGUGUUACAAGGGGGAGUAUGAGAUGGAGAGAAGAGGUACAAUGGGCCAAUCUGCAUGCAAAGGGGAUACUAGCAAAAACAGCAGUCUUCAGAAUGAGCCUAACCGCCACUGUAUAUCAUAUUUGGAUGGAGAGGAACCACCGAAUACUCCAGCAACGAAAGCAGCAAAGAGAAGCAAUCAGUAGACAGAUCAUCCAAGACCUUCACUGCAGGGCUAGCAUGUUUCCUAGAUUAGCUGGGUAUAUGCUUAAUCUGAACUUCUAUAGAUGAGAAAUAUGGAGUAUGUUCCUAGUUAGUUAUUUUGUAAUUACUUGAAGUUGGGACGUGUCCAACUCAGGCCAAAAACAUCUGCUCACAUCGACAUAUCGGGUAAUAAAAUUCCGGUUACCAAAAAAAAAUAUUACUAAUAACAUAGCAGAUUACAUAGUUUUUGCUAAACAAUUUGAGCACUAAAAAUUGAUAAUAAUAUCUUUGGUGGUAGGAUUUUCGUGAAACAAGUUUUUUGGUUCAAUUAUUUCAUGCAGUAUGAAGAACUACUGUUAUAUAUUUCGUUUAAAUUUUUUAUUUAUUUUGAGUACAUAUCACCUGAUUUUUAAAAAGAAAAUCUCCCAAGGGAUUGUUUGUUCAUUAUUACAAUUAAGUACAAAUUUUCCUUGAAAACUUUCAGAAAGAUUAGAAUUUCUUGGCAACUUUUGGACAUUAUUCAAGACACAAGACAGCUGACAACCCAAAUGGCCAAUGGUGCAUAAGACUGCUUUAGUGAAAGAAAUCAAAUUUUAUUUGCCCUUUCUUAAUAGAGUGGAACAGGGGAUGACAAAACUUUUCUCAAUGUCAAUGAGCUCCCAUGAGAAGCUCAUGGUCCAUAAAAGCUAGAUGUGAUUCAAAUGCUCUCUCUCAGAUACAAGGUUCUUAAUAAUUUUUAUAAUAGCUCUUUUUUAUUUGAUGUUUCACGAGGUUGGCUUUUGUCCUUUCAAAGUGUUUGUACUUUGUAGUUACAUUUUUAUUUUUUUGCUUUAUAUUGUGGUAUCAGGUAUGUGUGAUUGUAUAAUGGAUCGCUGUAUCUAUUAUGUCGAAGUUAAGUUUUAUUCUCCCCCUUGAUGUAAUUUGUUGAUAUGUUACAUAUCUAUCUACAUAUUAGGGAUCAUCGUCAAACACACUUGCACCACAAGUUUAUAUAGCCUUGGUCAUGAUUUCUCGAUGAAAAGGAAAUUUAUAGAAAUACAAUAUUGGUCUAUUUGUUGUGAAACCAUUUCAUAUUAUUACCAUUACUAAUUAGAAAGAAUAACCUAACUCUAUUGAUCCAUAUACCUUUCAAAAGGUGAUUAUGUACACACAACAGUGAUUAAAUGUUUUUUGUGUCUAUAAUGUUGUCUGUUUUUUUGAAAGACAUCCACCCAAGCUGUCACCUGCCGUGGUGGUGGGAGGCUUGGCGGACCUCUAUCAUGUAUAUUGUCAAAAAUAAUUACAAGAAGGAAGACAUAAACCAAACCUCUAGAAAGUACUUGUAGUAGCAACAAAAAAUAAGCUUCCAAAUUUCUAACAACAAACUUUGAACUAUAGGGAAGAUGAUGAUGAUAUUUUCUGCUAAGCUUAAUGAUCACCUUGAAGCAGUGGUCUCUAAGAUGUCUAUAAGCAUAACCUUAAGUAAUUAUACUUUUGCUAGACGGAACUGAAGGAAGUCUCCAGCUUAUAAGAUAGUACAAUUUUGUUCAAGGUGUUCAAUUGUCAAUCUUUAUCGCUUAUAUUCGGAAUGAAGGCACAUAAAGUCUGUCUAUUGUAAUAUUACCUCUCGCGUCACAUGGAAGUUCAACUUCAUUGUAGUAAAAUUCCUUGCUAUCCAGAGAGGUAGCUAAGAUGUCUACUACUUGAUUCCCUUCUCCGUAACAGAGUUGCACUUGGAUGCUCCUUUCCUGAACUAUACAUAAAAGAUCAUGUUAACCAAAAGUAAGGAGUCCAUUUCAAGAAUAUUGUGCAAUAACUGUAAGCAGCACCAUGAAAUACCAGAGCAGCCCGAGUUUCUAAGUAAUUGUUAGUACAGAACUGGAUAGGGGCAACAAAGACCAUAAUCAUCUGUCCAUUUCUUUUCCGCACAAUACCACCAGCUCCCGCUUUGCCAAUGACCUUAAUGAAACUACCAUUAGUAUUCAACUCUAAUCCCAUUCCAUAAUAGCAAAAGGUCUAUCCAUUUAACACUCAUGUAAUGUACUCUUGGUGUAUAAGUUUCCACAAUAGUACAAACCUUAGACCAACUAUAAUCCCAUUCCAUGUUGCAAAAGUUAUUACCAAUGGCAAUCUAGACUUGGAUCACAAUUUAUUGGCAGAUUCUAGAGAAAUUAAAGUAUUUGUCGACAUAUUUCUUACCACAUCUGGCUUUCCAGAUUUCCCAACAGGCAAUUAUAGAAAUGAUGUGCAAGAAAAGCUUGUGUGCAUCGUCUUUUGCAGGGGUGUUCCAUCACAAAAUGCCUGAAUAGCAGUAGCCCCAGCAUUUAAGUCCAAAGGAAUGGGGAAAAAAAUUCUCAACUCUGGUAGCCAAAUCAUAAGAAACAAAGAGAUGGUUUAGAAUUUUACUUUUAUCCACCCUGCAACAUGAGCAUCUGAAAGUAAAUUGGAGAUUAGGCAUGUGGACAAUGUCACUUAUGGGAAGUUUCUUUUGAGCAUUAUCCAUCACUGGGAAGAAAUCUUGGAAUUAUUUCUUGCAUCAGACCUAGACCUUGG
rnacentral:lncRNA from 1 species